GACGAACGCUGGCGGCGUGCUUAACACAUGCAAGUCGAACGGAAAGGCCCUGCUUGCAGGGUACUCGAGUGGCGAACGGGUGAGUAACACGUGGGUGAUCUGCCCUUCACUUCGGGAUAAGCCUGGGAAACUGGGUCUAAUACCGGAUAGGAGCCAUUUUUAGUGUGAUGGUUGGAAAGUUUUUUCGGUGUAGGAUGAGCUCGCGGCCUAUCAGCUUGUUGGUGGGGUAAUGGCCUACCAAGGCGGCGACGGGUAGCCGGCCUGAGAGGGUGGACGGCCACAUUGGGACUGAGAUACGGCCCAGACUCCUACGGGAGGCAGCAGUGGGGAAGAUUGCACAAGGGGCGCAAGCCUGAUGCAGCGACGCCGCGUGGGGGAGGACGGCCUUCGGGUUGGAAACUCCUUUCGCUAGGGACGAAGCUUUUUGUGACGGUACCUAGAUAAGAAGCACCGGCUAACUACGUG
rnacentral:rRNA from 1 species